ACAAUCACUAGAUUUCUUCUAUGCACAGCUUAGCCACACGUUAUGGAUAACUCAGGAAGAAUGUGCUAAUAGUUCAAAAUAUUUUUGUUUCAGCAAUCAAACCUGGAGCCCCUAUCACAAAACUUUUGUUUCCGCUAACCGAUCCGCAUGCCGUCAUUCAACUGGAAGAUUUUGUUCGGAUAGAUCCCAACAUGAGACGCAAAUAUAUAAAAUUUCUGCGCCGCAUCAAAACACCACGACAAAGCCUUGAAGAUACGUUUGGUAAAAUCUGCACCGAUCGAGCCAUCUUCCGUCACUUUAACUGGACGUCCAACAAGUCCUCCCAAUCUAUGACACAGCGAGAAUCACUGCAGCAUUAUUGGAUAUUUACAGAUUGUUUGUUUGAGGCUUGGAGCAGUCACGGAUUUACUAUGGAAACGUUGAAAUCAAAAAUGGCAAGCGUUAUCAAACGAAUCUAUGUUCGCAACAACGUGCGCAAUUUUCGAGCUAGGUCUAAGAUUGUAGAGCUUUGAAGAUUUCUAGGAUAUGAAUAAAUGUAGAAAAACGAUAUUUCCACUUUUGAAACUAAUUCUGAGAUUUGCUUAACAUUAAUCAUUCUAGAGAGUAACUUUUUUUUUCUUAAUUUCAUUGUAUGGAAUCAGCUGAAACGCCCCAGAGAAAUUCACAUCGUGGAGUUACAUCGCAUUCCGCCGCUGGGUUCAUCUUCCCUAUACGUUCUGAGCAAGCUAUAGAAGAGCUUGAAUCUUCCGUUCGAUGUAACGAAAAAUCCAGAAAGCAAUAUAUUAGGUUCCUACGCUCGAAACUGACCGAUGAUCAAACCGUUUUCACCGUGUUUCAACACAUCUUUACCUACCAAUCUCUGGUCGGAUACUGCUGGACGAAGCGUUCCAACUUGGAAAGAAAAUCCAUGAGAGAUUAUGAAAUCUUCACUAGUUGCAUGUUGGAUGCCUGGCAGUGCAAGGGUGUAACGGAGGAAUCCCUAGCCGAGCACAUCCGUCACGUGGUCAGAAAUCCAAAAAUAUCGCCAAGUUGCGGAAUCGGUUGCAAAGUCUCAACAAAAUGAUCAGCAUGGCGUCGAGUCGACACGAAAAGAUGCAACUGGAGGUUCAAAUCUGUGACGUCAACAAGGAACUGCAGGAGUUGCUUAAAACUGCCGAGCAGCACAAGCAGCGUGCCACCGCCCAUGUUGACGGUUUCCAUUUUCCGUUGACAUCCAUGGUCGAAAUCGAACGAUUGGAGGAAGCCGUUCGAAAGGAUUUCGAUGUGAGGAAGCAAUAUGUACGCUACCUGUCGCUCAAGAAGCCCCCGACGAUGGACGUAACUAACUUUUUCUCGUAUCUCUUCACCGACGAUGCUCUGAUGGGCUACAACUACUCCGGAACCAACACCAUUGGCGAUUCGAAGAUGCCGAUGAGAAACUAUGAAAUUUUCAUCGAUUGUAUGAUAGGUUUGUCUCUCUAUCCACUAUUUGGGGAAGUACUAGAAUACAAUUCGUGAAUUCACUUUCAGAAGCAUGGGCUGAUCAUGGAUUGACGCACAUACUGCUCGAGGAGAAGAUAAAACUUGUGGUGAGAAAGCUUACCGCUCGACGUCGCAUGCAGAAGUUUCGGCAGAGAAAAUCAAUGAAAGUUUAAACUUGUUAAAUAAACUUGAAAUGUUCAAAGAACUUUGUAUAUUUUGUUAUUGACUUGAAGUUGUUAUUUAAUGUAUGGUAACGUUAACAAUUUCCCAAUAUGAAUUUCAGAUCCGUUAAAACCACGAAAAAAGGUAUUCACGAGGACGGUAGAACUGGAUGAGUGUGCUGCCGCAGAUGACGAACAGCGCUACAUGUUCAUCGUGAGUCGAAAGGGAGGUAUUCUGUUGGUGCACGAAAACCACAUCUAUCGAUCCAAUAUGCGACGUCAGGGUCCCCACAAGAACAUACUGUACUGGGAGUGUGUACACAAUCGUUCGCAGAAGUGCCGUGGUCGACUCAAGAGCGAAGGGAAUUACCUGUUUAUUUCGAACACCAAUGCCACGCACAAUCAUCCUUCAGAUUUGAAUCGAAUCAACCGAGCUAAGGUCGGAGGAGAGCUGACAUACCGCACAUUCUUUUCACUUUUCAAAUAACAUGUUUCGUUGUUGAUUAGAAAUUGUUUUGCAAUAUAUAUUGUCUAAUAAUCUAGUACUGAGUUAUUCACACUAAUUUUAGAUAUAGUUGACAUAUUUUCGUCUUUUAUUCUAGUACUGCACAUAAUUGUUAUUCACCGUUAGUGGAAAUCUUUGAGUCGUUCAUCUAUGAUUAAACUAAAUCCAACUUAUUUUGCUAACAUUUUGUAACUACAAUUUCAGUUCAGGAAAUGUCCACGACAUGCGAUGCACCGCAGUAUGUCAUUAGCAAGUGUGGAACCGUUCAGCUUCGGCAGAAUGGUCAUCUUUUCAAUCGACACGUCAAGCGAGACGAUAUCACGUACUGGCGCUGCUCGCAGUUUACUGUGUACAAGUGUCGCGCUCGGAUUAAAUCCGUUCUCGAAGAGUUUUUCAUGUUGAACGUGGAACAUAACCACCAGGUAGUGGCCUCACCCAGAGCGUACGGAUCUUUGAAGCGACUGAAACAACAACUUGCAAGAUAUUAAUAAACUACACUCGUCUUUGGAAUUCAAUCUAGUACUUCAUUUUAUUGAAUUUAGGAAUUCUCGGACAG